rnacentral:rRNA from 1 species
GUAGAAUGAACCGGCGAGUUACGAUUGCAUGCGAGGUUAAGUUGAAGAGACGGAGCCGCAGCGAAAGCGAGUCUGAAUAGGGCGUUUGAGUAUGUAGUCGUAGACCCGAAACCAUGUGAUCUACCCAUGUCCAGGUUGAAGGUGCGGUAAAACGCACUGGAGGACCGAACCCACGUACGUUGAAAAGUGCGGGGAUGAGGUGUGGGUAGCGGAGAAAUUCCAAACGAACUUGGAGAUAGCUGGUUCUCUCCGAAAUAGCUUUAGGGCUAGCCUCGGAAUUGAGAAUGAUGGAGGUAGAGCACUGUUUGGACUAGGGGCCCAUCUCGGGUUACCGAAUUCAGAUAAACUCCGAAUGCCAUUCAUUCAUAUCCGGGAGUCAGACUGUGAGUGAUAAGAUCCAUAGUCGAAAGGGAAACAGCCCAGACCACCAGCUAAGGUCCCAAAAUAUAUGUUAAGUGGAAAAGGAUGUGGGGUUGCACAGACAACUAGG